rnacentral:ribozyme from 1 species
UGCCUUUGUCUUUCUUUCCUUCUUUCUCUUUCUUUCUUUUAUUUCUGUUGUGUAUAAAGAAAAGGAGGGAGACGAAGAAACAGAUGGUCUGUCUGUCAGUCGGUCAGUCUGCCUUUCU